GGCCGUGCUGGAUGCUUGUUUUGGCUUGAUGGGAGGAAUGAUACAGCACUUUGAAGCAGUUGGGAGCAGGGGACGAAUGGCAUCGUCUCCCUCAGCAGCACUGCCACCACUAGAUGCCUGAGGAUCUACAGCCUUGGGGCUUGAGUACUUGCUCAGUGUGACCUCGGAACAGCAACUGUACACCAAGAUCCUGGAGCGCUGGGUGCUGAAAAAACGCUGAACAAAGUCUAACUUGAGUGCAGUAAUUGCUAGUGGAUGGUGGCACUUCAGAAAGCAAAUUUUGGAAUAAUAGCUCUAGAUAAAUAUUUAAACAUUUCACUGUACUGCUACCAAUACCUUGUCUGACCCAAAACAUUCCACACUUAAUUAGUUCCUGCAGAUUCUUUUAGAUAACAAAGUACAAGGUGGAAUUUGUGUGGCAGAAUGCUUGUAUUACAACAUACUUUAUGGCUUUUAUAAUAAGGCAAAUAUGCAGAUAAGGGAAAGGCUUGUAAUUACCUCUCUGAAUAGCUGCAAGGCAAUGUUAUAUUAAAGGAAAUGGGAGAAGACUUGAUAGA